GAUGAACGCUAGCGGCAGGCCUAACACAUGCAAGUCGAGGGGCAGCAUAAUAAAAGCUUGCUUUUAUGGUGGCGACCGGCGCACGGGUGCGUAACGCGUAUGCAAUCUAUCUUGUACUAAGGUAUAGCCCGAAGAAAUUCGGAUUAAUCCCUUAUAGUAUUAUCGUUUCGCAUGUUAUGAUAAUUAAAGGUUACGGUACAAGAUGAGCAUGCGUCCCAUUAGCUAGAUGGUAAGGUAACGGCUUACCAUGGCUACGAUGGGUAGGGGGCCCGAGAGGGUGAUCCCCCACACUGGUACUGAGACACGGACCAGACUCCUACGGGAGGCAGCAGUGAGGAAUAUUGGUCAAUGGGCGCAAGCCUGAACCAGCCAUGCCGCGUGCAGGAAGACGGUCCUAUGGAUUGUAAACUGCUUUUAUCAAGAAUAAACCCCCAGUCGUGCAUUGGGGCUGAAGGUACUGAAUGAAUAAGCACCGGCUAACUCCGUGCCAGCAG
rnacentral:rRNA from 1 species